CCCUUAGAUGUCCUGGGCCGCACGCGCGCUACACUGAUGCAUUCAACAAGUUCUACCUUGGCCGAGAGGCCUGGGCAAUCUUUUAAACGUGCAUCGUGAUAGGGAUAGAUUAUUGAAAUUAUUAAUCUUGAACGAGGAAUUCCUAGUAAACGCAGAUCAUCAAUCUGCAUUGAUUACGUCCCUGCCCUUUGUACACACCGCCCGUCGCACCUACCGAUUGGAUGGUCCGGUGAAGCCUCGGGAUUGUGGUUCUUGCCGCUUUAUUGUGGCGUGACCGCGAGAACUUGUCUAAACCUUAUCAUCUAGAGGAAGGUGAAGUCGUAACA
rnacentral:rRNA from 1 species